UCAUUCACAGUUGUAACUGCUUUCACUCUCUGCAAGGCUCCUCCUCGAAUAGGCAGCUUUUUAAGAGCAAUGUCUGUGUCAGCCAGAGGUCCUCCCAGCAAUCUGACAGGAGUGCUUUCCACUGUUACUACUCGACCAGAGGGAAUCUAAAAAAGCAAAAGAGUUUAUGAAAUCUUCAUCUCAACCUCACAAGAGCCCUGUGAGCAAGGCAGAUGUGUCCUGAUCUUUCUCCUACAGAGGAGAAUUGAACCUCAGGAAGUGAAGUUGGAAUUUUCUGAGGAUAAACCACUAUGGAGCUGAUGUAUUUAUCCACUUGAAUUGCUUCAUUAAUAUAAUUUCAAACUUCAGUUAUAUUAUUCAGAUGUAAAAUCUUUCCAAAUGUCUUCCCAUUAUAUAUUGUAUAUAAUCAAGUCAGGCUUAGCUAUAAGUUUGUAGUAAUUACUGUAGAAUUAUACUCUAGAA